AGAGUGAAUUCUGGCAACACACUGAGUGAUGCUUGUCAAUGGCCACUAUCAGGAAUUUAAAACAAGAUUUGGAAUUAUGACAUCUGGACAAACACAUAUGCAAAACCUACCUUUUGGUCCAUUCUCCAGGGCUUCUUCUGCAGCUUCUGGUUCCAGUUCUUUUUCGGAGCUGUCAGUGUGUGUUUUGGCCUGUCCAUUAACUGACAUCAUAUUACUUGGUACAGUUGCAUUCACUUUUGAUGAUGUAGGCAAGGAAGACCCAGCCACUACUACUUCCUGUUGUUUCUGUAAUGCUGCCUACAAACCAAGAGAAAGUGAAGACACACUGACCAGGAAGGCUAGCAAAUAAGACAUCUGCCCUGGAGUACAUCUGAUACCAUGCUUUUGCCCUACCAAAGUGCUAUGCUCAAGAAAUUACUAAUAAAUUUUUAUCAGUUUUUAUCCUGUCUAUAAUGAAUAUUAUUAGUACAAUAUCAAACUGACAGCUAAAAAUAAUAAAAAAUCAAUAAAAAUUAAUGUGGACAAAAACCUGCAA
ensembl:lncRNA ACBD3-AS1 ACBD3 antisense RNA 1